CUUCAUGUAGUUUAAAUUAAAAUGGGGGCCUGUGGAGCCUCAGAUCUUUUUUAAGAGCUUGAAGC
rnacentral:tRNA from 1 species